rnacentral:tRNA from 1 species
GCCGGCGUGAUGAAAUUGGUAGACAUGCCAGACUCAAAAUCUGGUGGUGGCGACACCGUCUCGGUUCGAGUCCGAGCGCCGGCA